CUAAGCGUGUGUAGAUCCCGGCAUUCUGCCAAUUAAUGACAGUUUAGUGAAAAUAACUCUCCUUGCCUCAUUCCAUUACGGUUCACACCAACAAGGAAAUAAUUUUCAAAACCCGUAUAAUUAUAAUUUUAAAAUCGUAAGUGGAUACCGAAUGAAAAUUUUAGUUUGAAUUAUCCGUCGACAGCGCCAUCUUUGGGAUGGGCAUUUUUUGUCUACUAUCCUACGAGUAUUUUGAGGAAAAUCCAAAUCCACGUUUGGAUAUCAUUUCCACACAGAACGUGAUGCCUUUGUUGAAUAAUGAAAGGAAAGGACAUGCCGAAGAAAAAAACGUAUGCCGAAGGUUCUUUGAGGAAUAUUUGUUAACUGAGCAAAAUAAGUACAAGAACAAAAAUCGACCAAAUAUACAUGCAUUUGGAUUGCCCCAUUUUUUCACAUUAUAGUGACUUGGCACGCGCGCGCAAAUUUUGAGAGCAUCUCGUUCUGCAUCCAAAUUUGCCACAAAUUGGCGGUAUACCUACAAAUGAAGUACAAUGAUAAAUUAAUUGAUAAUAAUACUCUCUUAUACCACUUUAUUGCCGAUCUAAUAUCAGAGUUGGACUGGGUCACUGGGUCAACUGGGUCACCUGGGUCACUAAAUUAAACUGGGUCGCUGGGUCACGUCAUACUCUUUUCAGUUAGA